UUCUCUAUGCACGUUGUGUGGCUAGGAAGUUCGUCACUGGUGUUGGAGUUCAGGCGCCUCGAGUUGUUUUCGGUUUAAUUUCUGGUGCGGUUAGAAUUUUGUUUAGGUUCAAAUCAGACUCGAAGCAGAAGCGGUGAUCACAGAUAUCAGCAUUGAUAAACAUAUCACUGAAGAUCUUGAUCAUAUUCAUCGCCGCAUCGGAGUCCGUUUAGGACGCGCAACUUGUGUCGAGAUGAGUGUGGAAGCGUACGGGCCGAGUUCUCAAACGCUCACCUUCCUGGACACCGAAGAAGCGGAGCUACUUGGAGCAGAUACCCAGGGCUCGGAGUACGAGUUUACCGAUUUUACCCUACCUAGCCAGACACAAACUCAAGGCCACACCCAGAGUCAGCUGGACAAUCAGGUGAAUGGUCCUAAUGAAGGGCUUCACAAUGGAGGGGUUGAUGAUGUUGCCAAGGCGAGCCAAAUUCUCUCUGAGUUGAACUUUGAGGAGGAUGAAGAGGACACCUAUUACACUAAAGACCUCCCACUGCAUGCCUGCAGUUACUGUGGCAUCCAUGAUCCUGCGUGUGUGGUGUACUGCAACACAAGCAAGAAGUGGUUCUGCAAUGGACGUGGCAAUACAUCUGGCAGCCACAUCGUAAACCACUUGGUGAGAGCCAAAUGCAAAGAGGUGACUCUGCACAAAGACGGGCCGUUGGGCGAGACGGUGCUGGAGUGCUACAACUGUGGCUGUCGCAACGUCUUCCUCCUGGGCUUCAUACCCGCCAAGGCCGACUCUGUGGUGGUGCUGCUGUGCAGGCAGCCAUGUGCCAGUCAGAGCAGCCUGAAAGACAUAAACUGGGACAGCUCCCAGUGGCAGCCGCUGAUCCAGGACCGCUGCUUCCUGUCCUGGCUGGUAAAGAUCCCCUCGGAGCAGGAGCAGCUCCGGGCCCGACAGAUUACCGCCCAACAGAUCAACAAGCUAGAGGAGCUCUGGAAGGACAAUCCAACAGCCACUCUGGAGGAUCUGGAGAAGCCCGGUGUAGAUGAGGAGCCUCAACAUGUGCUGCUGCGCUACGAGGAUGCCUACCAGUACCAAAACAUCUUCGGCCCCCUUGUCAAACUGGAGGCCGACUACGACAAAAAGCUUAAAGAGUCCCAGACCCAAGAUAAUAUAACGGUCAGGUGGGACCUGGGGCUGAAUAAAAAGCGGAUUGCCUAUUUCUCCUUGCCCAAGACGGAUUCAGGUGACAUGCGGCUGAUGCAGGGAGAUGAGAUUUGUCUGCGCUACAAAGGAGACCUGGCUCCACUUUGGAAAGGCAUCGGCCAUGUCAUCAAAGUCCCAGACACACCCUUUGUGAAAGACUAUGGAGAUGAGAUUGCUAUAGAAUUGCGCAGCAGUGUCGGAGCACCUGUGGAAACAACCCACGACUACCAGGUGGAUUUCGUGUGGAAGUCCACUUCCUUUGACAGAAUGCAGAGUGCCCUGAAGACCUUUGCUGUGGACGAGACGUCCGUGUCAGGCUACAUCUACCACAAACUGCUGGGCCACGAGGUGGAGGAUGUCAUCAUCAAGUGUCAGCUGCCCAAACGCUUCACUGCCCAGGGCCUACCCGAUCUCAACCACUCUCAGGUGUAUGCUGUGAAGACUGUGCUGCAAAGACCCCUCAGUCUUAUCCAAGGCCCCCCCGGCACUGGGAAAACUGUCACCUCUGCCACCAUAGUGUACCAGCUCGCCAGGCAGGGCAACGGACCCGUGCUGGUGUGUGCUCCCAGUAACAUCGCAGUGGACCAGCUGACUGAGAAGAUCCACAUGUCAGGUCUGAAGGUGGUCCGGCUGUGUGCUAAGAGCAGAGAGGCCAUUGACUCCCCCGUCUCAUUCCUGGCGCUGCACAACCAGAUCCGCAACAUGGACAGUAUGCCAGAGCUGCAGAAGCUGCAGCAGCUGAAGGAUGAGACCGGGGAGCUGUCGUCUGCUGACGAGAAGCGUUACCGGGCCCUGAAGCGCACCGCUGAGCGAGAGCUGCUCACGAAUGCGGAUGUGAUCUGCUGUACCUGUGUGGGGGCAGGAGAUCCACGCCUGGCCAAGAUGCAGUUCCGCUCCAUCUUGAUUGAUGAGAGCACCCAGGCCACCGAGCCAGAGUGCAUGGUGCCUGUGGUCCUGGGUGCCAAGCAGCUCAUUCUGGUGGGAGACCACUGCCAGCUGGGCCCAGUAGUGAUGUGUAAGAAGGCAGCCAAAGCAGGCCUGUCCCAGUCUCUGUUUGAGCGUCUGGUGGUGCUGGGCAUCAGGCCCAUUCGUCUGCAGGUGCAGUACCGUAUGCACCCGGCCCUUAGCUCUUUCCCCUCCAACAUCUUCUACGAGGGCUCCCUGCAGAACGGAGUCACCGCUGCUGACCGCAUCAAGAAAGGCUUUGACUUCCAGUGGCCGCAGCCAGACAAGCCCAUGUUCUUCUAUGUAACUCAAGGCCAGGAGGAAAUAGCCAGCUCUGGAACGUCCUACCUGAACAGAACUGAGGCGGCCAACGUGGAGAAGAUCACAACCAGGCUGCUGAAGGCUGGGGCCAAGCCUGACCAGAUAGGCAUCAUCACCCCCUACGAGGGCCAGAGGUCCUACCUGGUGCAGUACAUGCAGUUCAGUGGUUCCCUCCAUACAAAACUCUACCAGGAGGUUGAGAUCGCCAGCGUGGACGCGUUCCAGGGCAGGGAGAAGGACUUUAUCAUCCUGUCGUGCGUACGAGCCAACGAGCACCAGGGCAUCGGCUUCCUCAAUGACCCGCGCCGUCUCAACGUGGCCCUCACCAGAGCCAAGUAUGGGGUGAUCAUUGUGGGCAACCCAAAGGCCCUGUCCAAGCAGCCUCUGUGGAACCACCUUCUCAACUACUACAAGGAGCAGAAGGUUCUGGUGGAGGGACCCCUCAACAACCUGAGAGAGAGCCUGAUGCAGUUCAGCAGGCCCCGCAAGCUGGUCAAUGCCAUCAACCCUGGAGCCCGGUUCAUGAGCACUGCCAUGUAUGAUGCCCGUGAGGCCCUCAUCCCUGGGUCUGCCUACGAUCGCAGCAGCGCAGGGCGUCCAUCCAACAUGUAUUUCCAAACCCACGAUCAGAUCGGCAUGAUUGGGACUGGGCCAGCCCACAUGGCGGCCAUGAACAUGCCUAUUCCCUUCAACUUGGUGGUGCCCCCCAUGCCUCCGCCAGGCUACCUGGCCCAGGCCAACGGCCCUGCUGCAGGUCGUGGUGGGGUGCUGAAGGGCAAAGUGGGGCGUGGCGGGCGCCAGAGGACCCGCGGCAUGGGGAACCACGGUAGCAGCGGGCAGGCCAACGGGCACAACAGCCAGGCUAGCCAGGACGUAUCUUCCCAGCCCUUCUCCCAGGGGCCACUCACCCAGGGCUACAUCACAAUGAGUCAGCCCUCCCAGAUGAGCCAGCCUGGCCUCUCCCAGCCUGAACUUUCCCAGGACAGUUAUUUAGGUGACGAGUUCAAGUCCCAGAUCGACGUGGCUCUGUCGCAGGAUUCGACUUACCAGGGUGAACGUGCAUACCAACAUGGUGGAGUGACUGGACUGUCACAGUACUAGAGUGUUGUUGGAAGAGGAGCUAGGCUUGAGCUGAGCUUAGUUCAUCAGCAUUUUAAUCUGGGUAGUAAUAAAAACAAAAAAUGGAGACCUGUUUUCCUCUACAACUGAAGCACCACCGUGUGAAAUCAACGGGAGAGAGAAACCAACCAAUCGCGAGAGAGUGGUAGAAAAAACGGACGGCCAGGAAGAGGGAACGUGUGGGAGUGAGGGACCACUGCCGGCACAUGGGAACGAAAGCGAGAGGAAGACGGUGGCCAGUGGUCGAGCUGUCGUGAGGAAGACGAAACGAGGAACAACUCCCUCCCUCCACAACCCUUUUCCCACCUCCCAUUCUAACCUCACACCUCUGUCUGAGAGAAUGACCAGUUAUCCAGAGGACCUUGCUCUUUGAUCAGCUAACAGAGAAAGAAAGACAAGUUCUCAAGCAACUUGGCUGGGGGAGCACUAACUCUCGAAAGCGGAUAACAAGAAAGUAGAGGGGGGAGGGUGUGGAACACUUCAAGCAGGCAACAUAGGAAAUCAUCACCUCAAUGUUGAUCACUUGCGGUGUUGAUCUCAACUCUCAGACCUGAAAUCUCAUCAAAUGACCACAAGAAGAACAGUCUCCAAGAGGAACAGUCUCCAAGAGGAACAGUCUCCAAGAGGAACAGUCUCCAAGAGGAACAGUCUCCAAGAGGAACAGUGGCAGUUCACAUCGUCGUUCAACUUUGAGUUGAAAAGUUUUCUCCGCUAAGUCUGAUAAUAAAGAACUUUGAAUUGAAAUGCCUUUGAUGGCCUUCGGAACCAUUUGGCUUUUUCAACAGGUCUUUUCAGAAACAGGUGGUUAACUGGAAGUCUGGUGGAGUUGAGUGGCAUGGGGAUAUCAGAGGAAGGUUUCUGAAGUGGUAUAAAGAAGCCCAAACAUGAAUGCAGGUGAAAGCAACCUAAGCCAGCAUAUACCAACUUCAUAGAAAGAAUCGCUGAAUGUGACCAGUAGGUUGUGACAUUGAAACCCACAGAGUCAUCACUUGAACCUGAGUCAAAGUGUUUCUGAAUGGUUACUGAAUGUACGAGCUGGUUUAAGCCACCUUCCUUCUCUUAGGAGUUGCCACUAAACCAGGUUGGUAGAAUGGCCUUCCUUUUGUAACUUCUAUUUUAUGAGUGUUUUUACACUUUUGGCUUCCCUAUAGUUCGCCCAUCUGUUUGCUCCAAAUUCCUAUGGCUCCCAAACCCUCCAUUCUUAACCCUCUGUGAAUUGUAAUUUCCCCCCAGUAUUUUCUUUUUUGCAUGAUUUUCCUGCCAGGGGUGAGGUUGUGAACAGCAAAAUGACACUUAAACCACACUAUAUGGUUUAAUUUGUUAUCUGAUGACAAAGGGGGAUUAAAUAAUGGGUUUUUUAAAGUUUUAAAUCAAUAAUUUAAAUAAACUGUCCAUGGGACUGUUUUAUAUUGAGGAAUCCUUGGCUAUUUGAGGAGUCCUCUAUCAGUUUUUAGGAAUGUCAUUUGGAUGCUUCGAGCACCAAAUUGAGAAUGUAUUCAUUUUAGCUCACCACCUGCAUUGUCCUCUGCUGUCCAUUUCUUUUUCUUUGUCGUCACCUGACUUUGAAUAUGUCAAUCCAAAACACAUUGUAUGACAAUCUUGCUGUCAAAUAGCUAGUCAUGGUUGAAGAAAUGCUUACAAAUGGUCUUUUUUGAUCAACAUUAUGCAUUUUUCCAUGUUGAUUAUGUUACUGUAUUUCACAUCAAGAAUUCCAGCAGGGAAUAUAGCAUUGCUCCUUAUACUUUUUACUAAGAUGGUGACAUUAUACUUAUGUUGAAAUGAAAUACAGCAAUCCUGCUAUCAAAGUUUGUCAUCUGUUACAUGGCCAGCACUGCUAACUAGAAAUGUAUUAAAAGUAUAUUACCAAACUAUA